AGGAGACGCUCUGGAUGCCCUUGAUGGUUGGCUGAUCAACUGAGCCCAGCUCUCUGCUCACCUCUGGGAGCUGGGGCUGAAGUACGUGUGGUGUGGGUGGUUGACUGGGGAGCAUGUGGGGCGCUGAGAUGAAUGGGCUAUGAAGCCUGGGGAGGAGGCUGGGUUUGACAGGGAGCUUUGGUGGGAAUCCUGGCCAGCCUGGGACCAUGAAUAUCAUGGGUGCCAUGGUGGAGAUGGCAGGUAGAAAUUAUCACGCCUGUUAACAUGUAAUGAAUGCCUGUUAUGUGCCAAACUCGUAUUGGGUUCACCUGGUCCACAUGAUAUUCCUGUAAAAAAGUAACUUCCGUCAUCACCUUCAUGUAUUAUUAUCCUUAUUUUGCAGACAAGGACUCUAAGAUUAAGAGAGGCAGUUCACUCGUAGACACCAGCUAUGGCGUGGAGGAGCAGGGAGGAAACCCAGCUGUUUGGUGCUGCACUCUAUCCCUCAGGUAUCUCGCUCUAUUCACAUGACAUUCAACAAAAUGAUGGCUUCAUCUGCCAGAGUCUUGCUGAGGCUAGUCCCAGAGCCAAGACUAUAAAGUGGAAAGGGACCUGCAAGGCAUGAAAUGAACAGGUGCCUGGUAAAGAGCUCAGAUCUCUGCAGGCGUGUGUGUUGGGUAUAGGUUUAAUAAAGACCUUGUCACCACGUUUUAGGCAUGGUUGCUGUGCGCAGAACUUGUCAGCGUACCAAGCUCUUUUCCAUUCACUGUCCUGUUUGAUGCUCACACCUGCCUAACGAUGCUGGUAUCAUUAUUUAUGGAUGAGCUCAGGUCACUUUAUUGUCACUCUCUGGUUAAGUGGUAGGACUAAGAAUCCAAUGCAUGUCCAUUUCCUUGUCUUACCAGUGCUGGGAGGUCUGAGCUGAGUUCAAUACUGACAACCCCCUUCCCUGUGCAGAAGAGAUGGUUGGAACAUCUAAGGGUCACGAAGGCCAGGUUGGAGGACUUGACUUACAUCUUUGGGUGAAUGGGCUUAUUAAAAUUAAACUCUAGAAUUGGACUCAUUUAACCAUGCAGUCGCAGCAGCUGGAGUGGGACAGGACACUGGGUCCCCGUGUGGAGGGUGUGCCCAGGUUAGCCUCAGGACAGGGAGGAACAGAGCAGGCAGUCUCCCUCUUCAGAUGGAGACCACAGGAGCUCAUCUGAGCCUUCCUGAUGUAUUUUUCCAUAUUGGACAAUCAGAUAAGUCACGUCAGCCCCCAGAGACACCGAGUAAAGGUGACAGAGGGAGGCCAGUAAUGAAAUUGCCUCCACAGGAAGGAAAGAGGUGAUAUCAGAGUUACAUUGAUCACAUUCCUUCCUUUAGGGGGAAAUAUCAAGAGUUGGGAACAAGAGUUCCCACAUAACUAUAAGAAGUCCUGAAAAUUCCUAACCACAAUUCUGCAUCCACAGGAACUUCAGCUGGAACAUGGCCAAUAUGUUCCCUUCAGGCCUGUGGGAAAUGAAUUCCUUUUCCUUUCUGGGCAGACUUUGGCAGAGGAGAGUCAGGCAGAAUUUUCUAGUUGAUUAAGUGUGUUAGAAAGUUAAGACAAGGGCUUUCCUUUACUGAGCAGGAAGCUAUCAUGGAAAAGAAUGGCUUCUUAAUGAGAGAUGCCAAGCCACAAAAUAGGAGAUCAUUCUGAAAAAGGUUUUGUAAUGUAAAGUUUGCCUGAUGGCUCAGAAAUCUAUUUUGAGCUGAGGUGCAUGUCCUGAAAACUCAAUUUGAAGUAAUGUAGGAAUUGUCACAUAGGCUAUGCUGAUAGGACCUGGCCCUUUGGCAUCUGGGAAAGUGCCAGAAACAGGAAUGUCACUGUCAGCUUCCUCCACUUCUGCCCUAAAGCAGGUCACCAGACUCUCGUGUGAGAGUUGUCCUCCUUGUGCACCAAGGAAAGAAGCAUCCUAUCCCUGAAGACCCAGGGUCACAGAGAAAGAUCUAGACUUGCUAAGUCCCCAGCGGAUCGCCUCUUGACCAUACCCUCUUUGACGUGUUGUAUCUCUUCACAACUACACACUCUUUAUCACACUUAGCAGAAAAACACACAAGCUCACCUGUUUCCUUACGUCUUUAUUUUCCUUUUGAAGGUUCCCAUGUCACACUAAACUUACAGCAAGUGAGUUUAUAUGCUUCUCUCUUGUUAAUCUGCCUUUUGUUAGAGUGACCUCAGUUAUGAUCUUAGUGAUGAGUGAGUAAAAGAUAUUUUUCCCACCUUGCAAUACCCAGGAAUAAAUUAAGUUCAAUUAAAAUGAUAAUUAUUAUUUGGAAAACAUCAAAAUACCAGGGAAGGCAUUUAUGCCUUUUUUAGAAAAUCAGAUUUGCUGAAAUAUAGUUUACAUACAAUAAAAUUUACUAUUUUUUGAAAUUUUUUAAAUUUUAUUUAUUUAUUUUUUAGUUGUGGUCGGACACAAUACCUUUAUUUUAUUUCUUUAUUUUUAUGUGGUGCUGAGGAUCGAACCCAGGGCCUCACCCGUGCUAGGCGAGUGCUCUACCGCUGAGCUACAACCUCAGCCCUUAAAAUUUACUAUUUUUAAGCAUGUAGUUUUGACUUUUGACAAAUGUAUGUAGUCAUGAACUCACCAGUAAGAACUAUUGGUUAGAAAAAUAUCCAAAUCUUCAUAUAGCUGCUUAUGCCUUACCCUCCCCUCCACACACCUGCCAGCAAACACCUGCAGAAUGUUAGAGGAGGAUCAGAGGUCUGGGACCCUGGACCUCAGAGGAGGAACACCAGGCAUGACCUCAGAGCACCAGCAGGACCACGGAGGAGGAACGCCAGGCAAGGCAGGACUUCAAUAAAACUUCCAGAAUAUUGUCUUUCUAGGCCUUACUGCAUGUAACUGAUUGCUUGUGGAAUCAUACUUUUGAUUAAGGAAAGGUGUGCUUGAGAAUCGCCCUUCGACCAAGGAGAAUCCUCAAGGGAGAGGAAAACCCGUCACCAGAUAGCAAAAGCAUAAACUCAGAUUCCUAAAGUAGCCGGAAACACCAGAGCCACGCUCCGGUGGCUCACACACCCACCGAGCUCCCAUUGACGCAGCACUUUAGUUAGAAAGUGCUUUCUCGAGCAUUUUACAGCUUAGAAAGUGCUGCGCAUCCGUUAGCUUGCUUAGUCCCUCCCUGCUGGCCUGGGGCUGAGCAGGCCCCCCAGUGAAUUUGUGUACAGUUGGAUCAUAAAGCUGUUCCUCCCUGCCGGCCUCUCCCUCGCCAAGCACGGGCCACGGAGGACAGCUCCUCUGCCAUCGGCCUGGAGAUUACUCAGUGACUAUCCAUCAUGUUUGUGGAUAGCGCCUCCUGCGCUGGGCACAGGGUGAACUGCAGAGUCGGGUCCAACAGUAACUUGGAAUUCUGGGCUCCGCGGCCGCGUGCCUGCUGCUCUGCCUGGGACUGGCAGAGUGUGAAGAAGUGAUGUGGCAGAAGAAUCCAGAAUGCAUCCCAAGAAGGUCUUUGCUUUCUUUUUCUAAAGCCUAAUUGUGGAGUAGGGGGAGAGUCCUCAGGUGAGUAAAGGGUGGGGGGCGACCUCCUCCCCUCUCUUCAGGGGGUGAACCCGUUACCCUGUGAAACUACAUUACCACGCUCUAUCAAAGCCACUUGGGGCGAUGGCUUAGCAAUCGUAGAACCUAGAUCCUGUGGUAACUGUGGCAUCAAGUUGCUGUUUGCUCUUGAAUAAGCCUAUUGCCUUCUCUGAUCUUCAAUGAUAUCACUUGUAAAAGGAGGCCAGUUGUUGAUUUAUGACUGUCUCUAGAAAUGACAUUGUAGGACUGUGUGGGAGGGCUGCUAAGAGGAGGAGAUACGGGAGAGCAGCUCCAGUAACUUGAGUGCCGAGGAGGAGGGGCUCUCUGUAAGUGCUCUGAAGUCAUGGGAAUCUCAGCAAACCAGCGCCCCCACCAAGGUCUCCAUGCCUCUCUCCAUCACUCCCCCCACCUUGGGCUUCCUCCCCUAGGACCCUCUUGGGGCCUUCAAAUUGAAGCCCCCAAGGGAUUGCCGCAGUGGGUCGUAUGAGACAUUGAUUCCAAUACCAGCCCCGGCCCUCACCUUCCCAGUGUAGUUUUCUUUUCUGAUCUGUGUCUGCAAGAGAGAUAAGGCAACCUAUGCCCCAGAGCUGUUGGAAGGGUGAAAUUGGAUGAUGUAUAAUGAAUGACAGCUACUAUUAAAUAAUACUAGCAUUUUAGUAGCCAGGGAAUCAGAGACACUGACACUGUCCCCAACCUCCC
rnacentral:lncRNA from 1 species